rnacentral:tRNA from 1 species
GAGGGUACAGCUCAGUGAUGGAGCGUGUGCUUAGCACGCACGAGGUCCUGGGUUCGAUCCCCAGUACUUCCA